UACGGAGGGUGCAAGCGUUAUCCGGAUUCACUGGGUUUAAAGGGUGCGUAGGUGGUCUAUUAAGUCAGUGCUGAAAUAUCCCGGCUUAACCGGGAGGGUGGCAUUGAUACUGAUGGACUUGAGUAAAGUUGAGGUGGGCGGAAUUGACGGUGUAGCGGUGAAAUGCUUAGAUAUCGUCAAGAACACCUAUUGCGAAGGCAGCUCACUAAGCUUUAACUGACACUGAGGCACGAAAGUGUGGGGAUCAAACAGG
rnacentral:rRNA from 1 species